rnacentral:rRNA from 1 species
UAGGGAGUCUUCGGCAAUGGACGAAAGUCUGACCGAGCAACGCCGCGUGAGUGAAGAAGGUCUUCGGAUCGUAAAACUCUGUUGUUAGAGAAGAACAAGGACGUUAGUAACUGAACGUCCCCUGACGGUAUCUAACCAGAAAGCCACGGCUAACUACGUGCCAGCAGCCGCGGUAAUACGUAGGUGGCAAGCGUUGUCCGGAUUUAUUGGGCGUAAAGCGAGCGCAGGCGGUUUCUUAAGUCUGAUGUGAAAGCCCCCGGCUCAACCGGGGAGGGUCAUUGGAAACUGGGGGACUUGAGUGCAGAAGAGGAGAGUGGAAUUCCAUGUGUAGCGGUGAAAUGCGUAGAUAUAUGGAGGAACACCAGUGGCGAAGGCGGCUCUCUGGUCUGUAACUGACGCUGAGGCUCGAAAGCGUGGGGAGCAAACAGG